GUUGAAAUAGUUCAGUGGGAGAGCGUUAGACUGAAGAUCUUAAAGUUCUGAGUUCAAAUCUCAGUUUUAAAA
rnacentral:tRNA from 1 species